GGGAAUCUACCCUUGGGUUCGGAAUAACAGCGGGAAACUGCUGCUAAUACCGGAUGAUGACGAAAGUCCAAAGAUUUAUCGCCCAGGGAUGAGCCCGCGUAGGAUUAGCUAGUUGGUGAGGUAAAGGCUCACCAAGGCUACGAUCCUUAGCUGGUCUGAGAGGAUGAUCAGCCACACUGGGACUGAGACACGGCCCAGACUCCUACGGGAGGCAGCAGUAGGGAAUAUUGGACAAUGGGGGCAACCCUGAUCCAGCAAUGCCGCGUGAGUGAUGAAGGCCUUAGGGUUGUAAAGCUCUUUUACCCGAGAUGAUAAUGACAGUAUCGGGAGAAUAAGCUCCGGCUAACUCCGUGCCAGCAGCCGCGGUAAUACGGAGGGAGCUAGCGUUGUUCGGAAUUACUGGGCGUAAAGCGCACGUAGGCGGCGAUUUAAGUCAGAGGUGAAAGCCCGGGGCUCAACCCCGGAACUGCCUUUGAGACUGGAUUGCUUGAAUCCUGGAGAGGUGAGUGGAAUUCCGAGU
rnacentral:rRNA from 1 species